CCUACGGGUGGCAGCAGUGAGGAAUAUUGGUCAAUGGACGAGAGUCUGAACCAGCCAAGUAGCGUGAAGGAUGACUGCCCUAUGGGUUGUAAACUUCUUUUAUAAAGGAAUAAAACGAGGCACGUGUGCCUUUUUGCAUGUACUUUAUGAAUAAGGAUCGGCUAACUCCGUGCCAGCAGCCGCGGUAAUACGGAGGAUCCGAGCGUUAUCCGGAUUUAUUGGGUUUAAAGGGAGCGUAGAUGGGUUGUUAAGUCAGUUGUGAAAGUUUGCGGCUCAACCGUAAAAUUGCAAUUGAUACUGGCAGUCUCGAGUACAGUUGAGGUAGGCGGAAUUCGUGGUGUAGCGGUGAAAUGCUUAGAUAUCGCGAAGAACCCCGAUUGCGAAGGCAGCAUACUAAACUGUGACUGACAUUGAUGCUCGAAAGUGUGUGUAUCAAACAGGAUUAGAUACCCUAGUAGUC
rnacentral:rRNA from 1 species